UGCGUGCAUGCGUGCGUAGUUACGUGCGCGCGUCCUCCCUUUUUUAUUCUUUUGUCCUCCUAAUUUCCUUUUCUUCGUUACAAUAAAAGUGGAUAUCUUACAUCAACAGUAGGAUUAUCGAUGCUUUUGGAUCUAGGGAGAAGGAUUUAACUGGGUGAUCGUACUUCCUUGCUUUUUUUCUCUCUCGGUGAAAGAAGAGUGAACCAAAGGAAAAGGUAAAGAGUGCAGGGGUGAUAUCGACGACACGAGCUACCGUCGCUGUUACAUUCUCAUCUCGAAGAGGUGACACGGUUUACUUUGAGGAUGUUCACCGACGAAAAAAAGUCUUUAUAAUACAACACGGUGGAAAUAGAGUGAAACAAUACAAAGAAAAAGAGAAAGAGUGAGAGAGAGAGAGAGUGUUAGAGGAAGAAAGUUAAACUUGAAGUAAGAGACGAAAAGAGAUAAAUUUAACAAAAAUUACGAUAGAAAAGAAAAACUGAGUGGUGUAGUACGUUUUCGGGGUACGUGCGCUAGCCGUGGCCGCGAGUGCAGCGGUGUGACGUGACAGUGUACCUGAAGCAGUGAUCGAGGAAGGUCGUGCGUCCUGCGUCUCUUUAAGAGCUUCCUCGAAAGGAUAUCUACGUUUGGGAUACGCGAGGAACCAUUCGCUAACGUAUAUUCGUUGUGUCCGAGGUCAAAAAAUCAAGUUAGUUCGUAUUUCUUCGUGUGUAUAUCUUAUGAAAACGAAAGGGAAAAGGAUCAUAGACGAUCCUGGACAAAGGCGAUGAUCGUCAUGUGUUCUCGAUCGCAGCCCUCAAUCGAGGGUUGAAAAAACGAACUCGUUAUUGCGAUAUUUUGUUCUUUUUAUUGUCGUGCGUGCGCGCGCGCGCCCACAACGGUGUGUCGGUCGUCGUGGGAAUCAAAAAGCGAGUUCGACGACAACUUUUUCUUUUCACGACAACGAGCUGGUCCCCCUCAGGAGGACCGACCGUGUAUCACGUCAUCGAGCUCAAAGAGAACUCGGAACCUCGCAAGAAUGCGGGACCGGCUAUCGUGGUACAUGGUCUUCUUGAUCCUGCCGACAAUUCUCCUGGCCAGGUCGCUCGACAAAGGUCUUUUCAUUUCAGAUCGGCGUAUACCUUACAACAUACCGUCAGACUGGCGAGCACUGUGGUUGAACAAUUUAGAUGAACUACAAAAAAUCAACGAUGCGAACGACAACAACACCGUAUCGAACGUCACAGUACAAUUGGGUGGCACGGCUUUCUUGCACUGCAAAGUUCGCAAUUUGGCAGACAGAACCGUCUCGGAUGCCGAGGUAAGGAAGUUAUUUCGUGUAGUUA